rnacentral:rRNA from 1 species
UACGUAGGGGGCAAGCGUUGUCCGGAAUCAUUGGGCGUAAAGCGCGCGUAGGCGGCCCGGUAAGUCCGUUGUGAAAGUCAAAGGCUCAACCCUGGGAUGCCGGUCGAUACUGCCGGACUAGAGUUCGGAAGAGGCGAGUGGAAUUCCCGGUGUAGCGGUGAAAUGCGCAGAUAUCAGGAGGAACACCUAUGGCGAAGGCAGCUCGCUGGGACGGUACUGACGCUGAGACGCGAAAGCGUGGGGAGCGAACAGG